rnacentral:rRNA from 1 species
AACGAACGCUGGCGGCAUGCCUAACACAUGCAAGUCGAACGCCCCGCAAGGGGAGUGGCGGACGGGUGAGUAACGCGUGGGAACCUGCACUUCAGUGGGGGAUAACGACGGGAAACUGUCGCUAAUACCGCAUACGCCCUACGGGGGAAAGAUUUAUCGCUGAAGGAUGGGCCCGCGUCGGAUUAGCUAGUUGGUGAGGUAAUGGCUCACCAAGGCGACGAUCCGUAGCUGGUCUAAGAGGAUGAUCAGCCACACUGGGACUGAGACACGGCCCAGACUCCUACGGGAGGCAGCAGUGGGGAAUAUUGGACAAUGGGCGCAAGCCUGAUCCAGCAAUGCCGCGUGAGUGAUGAAGGCCUUCGGGUUGUAAACCUCUUUUUCCAGGGACGAUGAUGACGGUACCUGAAGAAUAAGUCACGGCUAACUACGUGCCAGCCGCCGCCGUAAAAC